UGCAAGUCGAGCGAAUGGAUUAAGAGCUUGCUCUUAUGAAGUUAGCGGCGGACGGGUGAGUAACACGUGGGUAACCUGCCCAUAAGACUGGGAUAACUCCGGGAAACCGGGGCUAAUACCGGAUAACAUUUUGAACCGCAUGGUUCGAAAUUGAAAGGCGGCUUCGGCUGUCACUUAUGGAUGGACCCGCGUCGCAUUAGCUAGUUGGUGAGGUAACGGCUCACCAAGGCAACGAUGCGUAGCCGACCUGAGAGGGUGAUCGGCCACACUGGGACUGAGACACGGCCCAGACUCCUACGGGAGGCAGCAGUAGGGAAUCUUCCGCAAUGGACGAAAGUCUGACGGAGCAACGCCGCGUGAGUGAUGAAGGCUUUCGGGUCGUAAAACUCUGUUGUUAGGGAAGAACAAGUGCUAGUUGAAUAAGCUGGCACCUUGACGGUACCUAACCAGAAAGCCACGGCUAACUACGUGCCAGCAGCCGCGGUAAUACGUAGGUGGCAAGCGUUAUCCGGAAUUAUUGGGCGUAAAGCGCGCGCAGGUGGUUUCUUAAGUCUGAUGUGAAAGCCCACGGCUCAACCGUGGAGGGUCAUUGGAAACUGGGAGACUUGAGUGCAGAAGAGGAAAGUGGAAUUCCAUGUGUAGCGGUG
rnacentral:rRNA from 1 species